rnacentral:rRNA from 1 species
AUUGAACGCUGGCGGCAUGCCUUACACAUGCAAGUCGAACGGCAGCACGGGAGCAAUCCUGGUGGCGAGUGGCGAACGGGUGAGUAAUAUAUCGGAACGUGCCCAGUAGUGGGGGAUAACUGCUCGAAAGAGCAGCUAAUACCGCAUACGACCUGAGGGAGAAAGGGGGGGAUCGCAAGACCUCUCGCUAUUGGAGCGGCCGAUAUCAGAUUAGCUAGUUGGUGGGGUAAAGGCCUACCAAGGCAACGAUCUGUAGUCGGUCUGAGAGGACGACCAGCCACACUGGGACUGAGACACGGCCCAGACUCCUACGGGAGGCAGCAGUGGGGAAUUUUGGACAAUGGGCGCAAGCCUGAUCCAGCAAUGCCGCGUGCAGGAAGAAGGCCUUCGGGUUGUAAACUGCUUUUGUCAGGGAAGAAAUCCUCUAGGUUAAUACCCUUGGGGGGAUGACGGUACCUGAAGAAUAAGCACCGGCUAACUACGUGCCAGCCGCCGCGGUAACAC